rnacentral:rRNA from 1 species
AGCGAACGCUGGCGGCAGGCCUAACACAUGUAAGUCGAACGAAGUCUUCGGACUUAGUGGCGGACGGGUGAGUAACACGUGGGAACGUGCCUUUAGGUUCGGAAUAACUCAGGGAAACUUGUGCUAAUACCGAAUGUGCCCUUCGGGGGAAAGAUUUAUCGCCUUUAGAGCGGCCCGCGUCUGAUUAGCUAGUUGGUGAGGUAAAGGCUCACCAAGGCGACGAUCAGUAGCUGGUCUGAGAGGAUGAUCAGCCACAUUGGGACUGAGACACGGCCCAAACUCCUGCGGGAGGCAGCAGUGGGGAAUCUUGCGCAAUGGGCGAAAGCUUGACGCAGCCAUGCCGCGUGAAUGAUGAAGGUCUUAGGAUUGUAAAAUCCUUUCACCGGUGAAGAUAAUGACUGUAGCCGGAGAAGAAGCCCCGGCUAACUUCGUGCCAGCCGCCGCAGUAACAC